rnacentral:misc_RNA from 1 species
AAGAGCGUCCAACAAAUUAUCUAAUUCUACUUUACCUCUAAAGAAAAAUGUUAUGUUAGUGGAAGAAAAGUAUGGAUGCGUAUUCAUUUCAUUGCGCAUGUAUAAAUGUACAUCGUGUGUGUACAUAUUCAUGUUUGUGUAAAUCGCUCAUUACCAAAAAACAAUUAUACAUAUGCAGUUUAUGGAUUCAGUGAAGAGUAGAAUAAUUUGUUUAAUCGGGGUCAAUAAAAAUUUAAAUUAAUUUCUAUUUGAAAAACUUAUUGAUUGUUUAAUCGAGUAACUCAUAUUUGAAAAUGAUACCAAAUAUUUAAUCAUGAUAAAAUUAAUUGUUCUAUACGCAUACGAUAGUUAUUUAUCUUCUACGAUAUCAGUGCCAUAUUAAUCGACAAUAACAAAAUAAAGAGAAUUUGCAAUGAUGCUGGGAAGUUUUGUUAGUGCUGUUUCACUGCGAAGAUGUUUUUAUUUAUCGUCAAUGGUAUUUAUUUUGUCUACCUUAAUGGCAAUGAUGAUUAUAGUGAAAUUAACACCGUUAGAAUCUACAAAGUGUAAUUCCGCAAAUGCUGAUGAGACAACAGCUCGAAUUGAAUGGAGCAGUGCUAUACCUAUUGGAUCAAUAGCACAUAAUCGGUACUCAGAUAAUAAUGGCUCACUAUUUAUUAAUUCGCAAUUAAAUUCCAAUAAUGAAAGUCAACGGGAAUAUCGUGAUGAUAAGUUCUCAGACAUUAGGAUCAAUACUAAUAAAAAUAAUAUGCAAAUCAAAGUGCCAGAUUUAUCUUGGAAAAUGAGAAAUAAAGUUUUACCUUUAUUAUCUCAAAAAAAUGCCAAAGAUUUUGAUGUUAAUUAUCAUGUUCACAUUUUUUAUUAUCCAUGGUAUCGUUCUUUAUCAUAUGACGGCUAUUGGAAGCAUUGGAAUCAUAAUUAUAUACCCAAUUGGAAAAAAAAUGACAAGAAAGUUUAUCCAGUAGGUACUCAUCAACCACCCGCUGAUAUUGGAACUAAUUUUUAUCCUAGCCUUGGAUGUUACAGUUCCAAUGAUCCACAGGUGAUUGAUCUACACAUGAAACAGUUGAAGGAAACUGGUGUUGGAGUAUUGGUAGUUUCUUGGAUACCACCUAAUCUUCCCGAUAGUACAGAUUCACUAAUGGCUGAUUUAUUAGACGCAGCGCAUCGAUACAGUUUAAAAAUAGCUCCUCAUAUUGAGCCUUAUCCAGGAAGGAAUCCUAUUAAUUUAAUUGACCACAUUAAAUAUUUAUUUGAGCGAUAUGCAUCACAUCCUGCUCUUCAUAGAGUUAAAAAGCCUAAAACUGGAGUUUUGUUACCGAUGAUCUACAUUUACGAUUCGUAUUUAUUCCCACCAAGUGCUUGGUGGGAACUUUUGUCCGAACGAGGAAAUUUAACUCUUCGAAGAACUGAAUUUGAUGCCGUGUACAUUGGAUUAUUAGUAGAUUCACAGCAUCGUAGUCAAAUUAAAAAAUCUCACUUUGAUGGUUUCUACACUUAUUUUGCUGUUAAUGGGUUCAGUUAUGGAAGCACUUGGAAAAAUUGGAAAGAUUUGAAUAAAUUCGCAAACGAUAACGAUCUUCUAUUUAUUCCUAGUGUUGGACCUGGCUACAUUGACACACAGGUGCGUCCAUGGAAUGCUGAAAAUAUUAGAUAUCGUCGUCACGGACAAUAUUAUGAAGUGGCGUGGAAAAGUGCAAUGAAUAGUGGAGCAAACAUAGUAUCUAUUACAUCUUUCAACGAAUGGCAUGAAGGAACUCAAAUUGAACCAGCAAAACCUAUGGCCUUGUUGGUAUCUCAUUUAUCGGUAAUAAAGGAAUUAUUAUAUCCCUAGCCAUGUUACUUACCGUGCAGCGCUGCUGUACUAUUUUAAAACAAUGAAACAAUUUAUAAUAAAAAUUCAAAAAUGGCUAAUUUGUGUCAACGGUCGUGAUCUCAUUAUCAGAUAUUUUUUUUAUUGUAAAAAAAUGCAGAUCUUUAAAACUUAUAACUUGUUAUAAUUUCGCAAUACUGACCAUUUCAACAUGAUAAAAGAAUAUUUGUUUUCUGAAUGAUAAUGACGAUUUGAUCCAGUGUUUAUUUAGUGAACUUUAUAACCAAGAAAACCCAACUUACAUCUAAAUAUAUCACUGAUUCCAAUGAUCAAUAAUAUUUUGGUUCUGGUUGCUUUGAAAAGAGAAAGCGGAAAAUGAAUGUGAUUCUUUUCCAAUAAAGAUUAAAUUAUUGAAUAGUGUUGUGACCAGGAACACCAGAAUUCAAGGAUGAUGACUAAUAAGCUAGUUGUAGAUAGUUAUUUUCAAACGUUACAUCCAUGGGUAGAUGGUGUAGCAUAGCUGCUUGCUUACUUGUUGGUUAAAUGCUAUUUUACUGACCGCACUUGCAAGCUAUGAUUAUGUAAGACCUUCUGUGUACCCUUUCUACGUGCUUCGCAUUGUCGCUUAAUUCUCUGUAAACAUAUUUUAAUGUUUCAACGAAACCGAUGAAGAUUUUUAUCAAUUAAACAAAUAUUCUAGUCAUUUUUAGCGAUGAUUCUUGUUCAACUUGACCUACUCACCUCAAGCACUUAUACCACCGGAAUUGGUAAUAUAAGUUUUUUCGAUUCAACGCAAAGUCUGAGUUAUUAACACUUAAAUAGACGUUUAGAAUAUGAAUGUAUAUUAGUAAAGUGCUUGUUACGAUUAUACUCUUAAUACAAUUAAUCAAAAUGACCGUGAUGAUAACCUCGACUUUCGGAUCAUAUUCUAAUUCUCAUUAAAGUGGAAGAUACAAAAAUGAAACUAUUAUCAAUGAUAAAUAUAUGUCAUUUGAUAGCUAUAAUAAAUUGAAGUGAAAAAUUUUAUGGUUCUUGAUUAUGAAUGAAUUAAAUGUAGGAGUUUAUACUCGACUGACUUUAUGUGUUUCUUAAUUAAUAAUUAUAUUCAAUGAGGAAAGUUGUUAGCGGAAUGAAAGAGACAUAGGUGAUGAUAUAUUAUUCUAUGUAGAAUUUACUAGCAUUCUUGCACGUUGGUUAUAAAGCUUUAAAUGAUCUAUAAAGCCAUAGAAUGUAGAGAGGGAACAGAGAAAAAGAAUUGACCUGGUUUCUUUUGAUGCAAAGGAUUACGUUAGAAAACAACUCGUUACAAGUGAAACGUUUGGACAAAAGCCUCUAUAUAUGACGUAAAUCACAAAAUAGACUAGAAUGCAUUUUUUCUAUAUCUUGUUGGUGUUGUUCAACUUGGGAUGGCAUAGUCAAAAGCCGCGCCUUCACUUUUCCGCUUCCUACUGCCCCACUAACAAGACUACAUCGGUUCCUGAAAUAGAACUGCGUGGUUAGCUGACGAGGAAGAUGGACGCAAAUAUAAGAAGAAUCAGACCCCAGAUAGACAGAUGUUGGUAAACUUAAAGAUAGAAAAGGAAAGUAAGACAGGAAUGAGGUCAGUGUAUUGAUAUCAAAAGUUGAAUUAACCGCCUAAACUUUUAUCGUAUCGCUUGACCUUUAUGAUCUAUUUUCAAAUUGUUCCUUAUCGUAUACUCUGCAUCUUUUUAAUCCGUAUAUUAUUUUUAAAUACUAUUUAUCAAUGAUUUGAAAAAAAUCAAAGGGUCCAUGAGGAAAUUGAAGAAUGAGUACCGUGGGACUAUUAUGAUGAUAAUAAUGAUGACAGUGUGCCAGAUGGAUGCUUUAUGUUUUGCAAUUGUUCACAACUUUGCACAAAUGCACAUUCAUGGAGUACUAACCAAAUAAAUGAAGACAAAUAAGUUCUAGACGGUUGCGGAACCUUGCAUGUAAUGUAAAUUGACAUUAAGACAAGUAGCUUUAUAGAAUGAAGCAAUCAUAUUAUUGUUCACCUUUGUUACUAAGAGUCAUCAGGAAACGACUCAAUGAUGUAUUACAAUAUUUCUGGAUCAAUUAGAUCAACCAGGAUUGGCCAAUGGGUGUGGUACUAUUGAUAGCUUGAAGAUAUAAUAAAUAGGAAUAAAUAUCUGGUUUUUUCCGAAUUCAAUAUCAUAUUUUACGAUUGUAUACUUUCUUAUUCUUGGUGUCCUUGGUGAGUAGAGCUAAAGCGCGAACAAUAUGCAUAGUACGGAUAUAUGACAUGUGAAAAUGCCCAUGUCGUAGGAAGUGAAGUCCUUGAAAAGCACAAACGAGGUAACGAGACAAGAUUUAAAUUAUCUU